rnacentral:miRNA from 1 species
UUCACAACGAGGUGUCAUUUAU